rnacentral:rRNA from 1 species
ACGCACGCUGGCGGCGUGCUUCACCCAUGCCAGUCGCACGGAAAGGCCCUGCUUGCAGGGUACUCGAGUGGCGAACGGGUGAGUAACACGUGGGUGAUCUGCCCUGCACUUCGGGAUAAGCCUGGGAAACUGGGUCUAAUACCGGAUAGGAGCCAUUUUUAGUGUGAUGGUUGGAAAGUUUUUUCGGUGUAGGAUGAGCUCGCGGCCUAUCAGCUUGUUGGUGGGGUAAUGGCCUACCAAGGCGGCGACGGGUAGCCGGCCUGAGAGGGUGGACGGCCACAUUGGGACUGAGAUACGGCCCAGACUCCUACGGGAGGCAGCAGUGGGGAAUAUUGCACAAUGGGCGCAAGCCUGAUGCAGCGACGCCGCGUGGGGGAUGACGGCCUUCGGGUUGUAAACUCCUUUCGCUAGGGACGAAGCUUUUUGUGACGGUACCUAGAGAAGAAGCACCGGCUAACUACGUG